AACGAACGCUGGCGGCAUGCCUAACACAUGCAAGUCGAACGAGACCUUCGGGUCUAGUGGCGCACGGGUGCGUAACGCGUGGGAAUCUGCCCUUGGGUUCGGAAUAACUUGCCGAAAGGCGUGCUAAUACCGGAUGAUGACGUAAGUCCAAGAUUUAUCGCCCAAGGAUGAGCCCGCGUUGGAUUAGCUAGUUGGUGAGGUAAAGGCUCACCAAGGCGACGAUCCAUAGCUGGUCUGAGAGGAUGAUCAGCCACACUGGGACUGAGACACGGCCCAGACUCCUACGGGAGGCAGCAGUGGGGAAUAUUGGACAAUGGGCGAAAGCCUGAUCCAGCAAUGCCGCGUGAGUGAUGAAGGCCUUAGGGUUGUAAAGCUCUUUUACCCGGGAUGAUAAUGACCGUACCGGGAGAAUAAGCUCCGGCUAACUCCGUG
rnacentral:rRNA from 1 species